rnacentral:misc_RNA from 1 species
AACUGAUACUACCUGCGGGAACCUGCGGAAGGAUCAUUAAUGAGAAGCUGCCCCUCGUGGGUAGACCUCCCACCCUCUGUGAACUUACCUUUGUUGCUUUGGCAGGCCCGUCCUCUGGACCGCCGGCUUCGGCUGGCCCGUGCCUGCCAGAGGAUUCCAAACCCUGUCUGUCAGUGUUGUCUGAGUCUAUAUGAAAUCGUUAAAACUUUCAACAAUGGAUCUCUAGAUCGGAAGAGCACA